UACGAAGGGUGCAAGCGUUACUCGGAAUUACUGGGCGUAAAGCGUGCGUAGGUGGUUCGUUAAGUCUGAUGUGAAAGCCCUGGGCUCAACCUGGGAACUGCAUUGGAUACUGGCGAUCUGGAGUGCGGUAGAGGGUAGCGGAAUUCCCGGUGUAGCAGUGAAAUGCGUAGAUAUCGGGAGGAACAUCCGUGGCGAAGGCGGCUACCUGGACCAGCACUGACACUGAGGCACGAAAGCGUGGGAGCAAACAGGAUUAGAUACC
rnacentral:rRNA from 1 species